ACCUUGGCCUCCCAAAGUGUUGGGAUUACAGGUGUGAGCCACUGCACCUGGCCGGUCUCUGUCUUUUAGAACCUUAUGGUGAUGGAACACAGAGCAGGCACUUGCUGGCUAUUAGCUGACUGCCCAAAUGAAUGCACUAUCAGACACUGCAGGAAAAAGGAUAAAGAGAACACUUUCAAGUUUCUCUUUCUUCAGUUCUUUGCUACUCAUCUACUCUGUCUUUUAAUGGGCCUCUUCCACUUCCUCCUUCUGUGCCUCACCAUGGGUCACUGUGGUCAGGGAGACUCAGCUCUUUGGCCUAGUAUGUAAAUCUAAAAGCUGUGCAAUGGUUCUAUUUAAAUUGGAACAAUUCAUGCAGCCAGUCUUUACUGAACAUGUACGUGCCUAGGAAGUCUCAGGAAUGGGUAAGUGCUCCUGCUCCCACACAGUCUACAGACCUGGGUGCAAUGGUGAGAAAGACCUCAGUAAAGCAAAGGAAUUACGAAAGGGAGAGGGAAAACCAAGUUGAAUGAGUUGGAGACUCCAUAGAGAUGGGCUUCUAGAAUAAAAUGGCACUGACUUAGCUGAAGGACUGAAAAAGGAAGCUGAACUUGCAACAUGUGAGAACAUUUUGUGCAAAGGAGACAACCUGGAGCUCCAGAGGACCUACACUCAGUGAAUGGGCUUGGUCCUACAUCCAAAUAUACAUGAGGACAUGCAGAGAAAUGUUCAAGUAUAUAGGUAUCAUUUUUGUGGUUCCCUAUUUUAACUUAUUUAAAAAUGUAGUAACAGUAUUUUUAACAUAGGCAAAAGGAGAGAAAAUAAUGUAUUUCCAUAUACUCAAACUAGGUUAAACAGUUACAAAGAUUUUUGACACAUUUGCUUCAUCUAUCCCAUAUUUUAUUUCUCUCUCAAGUAUUUUAAUGCAAAUUCUUGAAAACAAUCACCCCUACAGACGUCAGCAGACAUCUGCAGAAAUAUUUUAAGCCAGCUUUUGAUUGCUGACCAACCUGUGGUACAGGUAACAGGACUCCUACUGGGUACCAAGUCAUUCACCUACAGGCCUACCUUUCCCCUCUCUUUGCUUCAACCCAGAAGACCUCAAGGCAAAUAAACUGAUUCCUGGAUCCUGAGUGGUUCCUGGUUCACGUGGAAGGACAUCUCUGAAGCUUCAACUCAGUGAUUUACUUCCCCAAACCUAUUCCUUUCAUCCUUACAAUGAAACCACCUGUGUAACAACCCGAUUCUUUGAACGUUUUCUGGGAGUCCAGAGCAAGCCGAAACUUUCAGUGAACAUCCUAAGGCAAUCUGUAUUGAACCAGGUUCACUCCAAAAACCCAGUUGGGGCCAUUUCUCAAGGAGCUCAGAACAACCCGAGGAAUGGAUUCAUGGGCUGUCCUAAAGUAGCCUUACUCACAGGUAUCAGAGAAUUCACUUGCUUCUAGGCCCUUGGAUUGCUUUAAUUCUUUCAAUUUUCUUUUGUUCAACAACAUAAAAAAUAUAUUCUACUUAUUGCAAUUUUUACAUGUCACAUUCUGAAUAUUAUCCUGUACCAGUGGCUUCUUGGUUGUUAUAUAACUUGUUUGGUAAAGUUAUGCUGACAGCUUUAAUGAGGCGAUGUCAUGUGAUGCACGAAUUUCCCCUGGUGCUGAAUGUGGACAUUAGCAACUCAGUAUCGUGUGUUAGGGCAGUGGAGAAUCAGGGUGUAUCUAAUAAAUUCCUUCAUGGAGCUCUCAUGCCAUUAAGCAGAA
rnacentral:lncRNA from 1 species